rnacentral:rRNA from 1 species
AUUGAACGCUGGCGGCAGGCCUAACACAUGCAAGUCGAGCGGGGUUUUCGGACCUAGCGGCGGACGGGUGAGUAAUGCGUAGGAAGCUACCCGAUAGAGGGGAUACCAGUUGGAAACGACUGUUAAUACCGCAUAAUGUCUACGGACCAAAGUGUGGGACCUUCGGGCCACAUGCUAUCGGAUGCGCCUACGUGGGAUUAGCCUAGUUGGUGAGGUAAUGGCUCACCAAGGCGACGAUCUCUAGCUGGUUUGAGAGGAUGAUCAGCCACACUGGAACUGAGACACGGUCCAGACUCCUACGGGAGGCAGCAGUGGGAAUAUUGGACCAAAUGGGCGCAAGCCUGAUCCAGCCAUGCCGCGUGUGUGAAGAAGGCCUUAGGGUUGUAAAGCACUUUCAGCGA